rnacentral:rRNA from 1 species
GAUGAACGCUGGCGGCGUGCCUAAUACAUGCAAGUCGAGCGAACAGACGAGGAGCUUGCUCCUCUGACGUUAGCGGCGGACGGGUGAGUAACACGUGGAUAACCUACCUAUAAGACUGGGAUAACUUCGGGAAACCGGAGCUAAUACCGGAUAAUAUAUUGAACCGCAUGGUUCAAUAGUGAAAGACGGUUUUGCUGUCACUUAUAGAUGUAUCCGCGCCGCAUUAGCUAGUUGGUAAGGUAACGGCUUACCAAGGCAACGAUGCGUAGCCGACCUGAGAGGGUGAUCGGCCACACUGGAACUGAGACACGGUCCAGACUCCUACGGGAGGCAGCAGUAGGGAAUCUUCCGCAAUGGGCGAAGGCUUGACGGAGCAACGCCGCGUGAGUGAUGAAGGUCUUCGGAUCGUAAAACUCUGUUAUUAGGGAAGAACAAAUGUGUAAGUAACUAUGCACGUCUUGACGGUACCUAAUCAGAAAGCCACGGCUAACUACGUG